GCAAUAAUGGACUCUGUCGCUUCUUAGGAAGAGGAAAGUCCGGACACCGUAGAGCAGCAUAGCGGAUAACAUCCGUCCAUUGAAAGGUGAGGACCAGUGCAACAGAAAGCAAGUACAGUUCGGCUGUAGUGAAACCAGGUAAACUCUAUGCGGUGCAAUGUCAUGUACAUUAGAGUUUGAGGGUAACUCGCCCGAUUCUAAGGGGUAGGCAGAUG
rnacentral:RNase_P_RNA from 1 species